rnacentral:sRNA from 11 species
GCAGUAUUUGAUGAUAUCCAUAGAUACUUUGAGUGAUAUUGGAAUCAUAAGAGAAUUGA